rnacentral:rRNA from 1 species
UCUGCGCAUGGGGGCACCCUGACAGCGACGCCGCGUGGGGGAUGAAGGCCUUCGGGUUGUAAACCCCUGUCAGGUGGGACGAAGGUGCGGGGGGGGCAACGCCCUCGCGCGUGACGGUACCAUCAGAGGAAGUCCCGGCUAACUCCGUGCCAGCAGCCGCGGUAAUACGGAGGGGACGAGUGUUGUUCGGAAUUACUGGGCGUAAAGGGCGCGUAGGCGGCUUAGCGAGUCGCGUGUGAAAGCCCUCCGCUUAGCGGAGGAAGGGCGCGCGAUACUACCGAGCUGGAGGACGGGAGAGGGCAGUGGAACUCUCGGUGUAGGGGGGGGGGGCUGUAGAGAUCGAGAGGAACACCGGUGGCGAAGGCGGCUGCCUGGCCCGUUACUGACGCUGAGGCGCGAAAU